rnacentral:rRNA from 1 species
GAGUUUGAUCAUGGCUCAGAUUGAACGCUGGCGGCAUGCCUUACACAUGCAAGUCGAACGGCAGCACGGGAGCUUGCUCCUGGUGGCGAGUGGCGAACGGGUGAGUAAUGCAUCGGAACGUAUCCUGGAGUGGGGGAUAACGUAGCGAAAGUUACGCUAAUACCGCAUAUUCUGUGAGCAGGAAAGCGGGGGACCUUCGGGCCUCGCGCUCUUGGAGCGGCCGAUGUCGGAUUAGCUAGUUGGUGAGGUAAAGGCUCACCAAGGCGACGAUCCGUAGCAGGUCUGAGAGGAUGAUCUGCCACACUGGAACUGAGACACGGUCCAGACUCCUACGGGAGGCAGCAGUGGGGAAUAUUGGACAAUGGGCGAAAGCCUGAUCCAGCCAUGCCGCGUGUGUGAAGAAGGUCUUCGGAUUGUAAAGCACUUUAAGUUGGGAGGAAGGGCAGUAAGUUAAUACCUUGCUGUUUUGACGUUACCGACAGAAUAAG